AACGUAGGUGGCGAGCGUUAUCCGGAUUUACUGGGCGUAAAGGGUGUGCAGGCGGGCUGUUAAGUGGUGCAUGAAAUCUCCGCGCUUAACGUGGAGAGGCUGUGCCAGACUGGCAGUCUAGAGUACGAGAGAGGGUUGUGGAAUUCCGGGUGUAGUGGUGAAAUGCGUAGAGAUCCGGAGGAACACCGGUGGCGAAGGCGGCUUCCUGGACCGACACUGACGCUGAGGCGCGAAAGCGUGGGGAGCGAACAGG
rnacentral:rRNA from 1 species